rnacentral:lncRNA from 1 species
AAGUCGCGGCGGCGGCGCGUUCCGGUGCUGAGGUGGCUGCGGGCGGGGCCGGUUGCGCCGCGGCGGGGGCCUGGCUGGCGCUCGGCGGGCGCGCGGUGCCGGCAGGCUGUCCUGUAACUAGCAACAGACUGAGACUUUUGGGGUCGAUAAAGGGAAACAUAUUUCCGUUUGGAGGAGACUCUCCUAGGAGCACUACUUGCGCUACAGUCYGAGUACUCAAGGGUGUUAGUUCAUGCAACUUGUCAGUACUCAAGAGAUGAACGAGAAUGGUGUGAGGGUCCUGYGUAUGGCCAAUAGCACUGCCUUGGAAACCUCUUU